rnacentral:piRNA from 1 species
UCCACCAGGGCACCAGGACUGCAGGCUUC